UAAGGCAGUGGUAGCGCUGAAGAAUAUUCGUGCAAUUGUCGUUAUUCAUUAUAAAAGGGCGGGUUUUAAAGGAUAUUUUAAAAUUUAAAACAAGCUUUUAAGAGCAGAUGGCGGAUGCCUUGCCAAAGAGAGGCGAUGAAGGACGUACUAGACUGCGAUAAGCUAUGCGGAGCUGUCAAGGAGCUUUGAUGCGUAGAUGUCCGAAUGGGGCAACCCAACUAAUAGAGAUAUUAGUUACUCUUUAAUAGAGAGCGAACCUAGUGAAGUGAAACAUCUCAGUAACUAGAGGAAAAGAAAUCAACGAGAUUCCCUAAGUAGUGGCGAGCGAACGGGGAAAAGGGCAAACCGAGUGCUUGCAUUCGGGGUUGAGGACUGCAACAUCCAAGAAAACGCUUUAGCAGAGUUACCUGGAAAGGUAAGCCAUAGAAAGUGAUAGCCUUGUAUGCGACAAGGCGUUUUUAGGUAGCAGGAUCCAGAGUAGGCCAGGACACGAGAAAUCCAGGUUGAAGCCGGGGAGACCACUCUCCAACCCUAAAUACUACUCUUUGAGCGAUAGCGAACAAGUACCGUGAGGGAAAGGUGAAAAGAACCGCAGUGAGCGGAGUGAAAUAGAACCUGAAACCAUCUGCUUACAAUCAUUCAGAGCCCUAUGAUUUAUCAGGGUGAUGGACUGCCUUUUGCAUAAUGAUCCUGCGAGUUGUGGUAUCUGGCAAGGUUAAGCGAAUGCGAAGCCGUAGCGAAAGCGAGUCUUAAUAGGGCGGUUAAGUCAGAUGCUGCAGACCCGAAGCUAAGUGAUCUAUCCAUGGCCAAGUUGAAACGCGUGUAAUAGCGCGUGGAGGACUGAACUCGUACCCAUUGAAACGGGUUGGGAUGAGCUGUGGAUAGGGGUGAAAGGCCAAACAAACUUAGUGAUAGCUGGUUCUCUUCGAAAUAUAUUUAGGUAUAGCCUCAAGUGAUAAUAAAAGGGGGUAGAGCCCUGAUUGGGCUAGGGCUGCUCGCCGCGGUACCAAACCCUAUCAAACUUCGAAUACCUUUUAUCGUAUCUUGGGAGUCAGGCGGUGGGUGAUAAAAUCAAUCGUCAAAAGGGGAACAACCCAGACUACCAAAUAAGGUCCCUAAGUUCUAUUCUGAGUGGAAAAAGAUGUGUGGCUACUCAAACAACCAGGAGGUUGGCUUAGAAGCAGCCAUCCUUUAAAGAAAGCGUAACAGCUCACUGGUCUAGUGGUCAUGCGCUGAAAAUAUAACGGGGCUAAGAUAGACACCGAAUUUGUAGAUUGUGUUAAACACAGUGGUAGAAGAGCGUUCAUACCAGCGUUGAAGGUAUACCGGUAAGGAGUGCUGGAGCGGUAUGAAGUGAGCAUGCAGGAAUGAGUAACGAUAAGAUAUAUGAGAAUUGUAUCCGCCGUAAAUCUAAGGUUUCCUACGCGAUGGUCGUCAUCGUAGGGUUAGUCGGGUCCUAAGCCGAGUCCGAAAGGGGUAGGUGAUGGCAAAUUGGUUAAUAUUCCAAUACCGACUGUGGAGCGUGAUGGGGGGACGCAUAGGGUUAAGCGAGCUAGCUGAUGGAAGCGCUAGUCUAAGGGCGUAGAUUGGAGGGAAGGCAAAUCCACCUCUGUAUUUGAAACCCAAACAGGCUCUUUGAGUCCUUUUAGGACAAAGGGAGAAUCGCUGAUACCGUCGUGCCAAGAAAAGCCUCUAAGCAUAUCCAUAGUCGUCCGUACCGCAAACCGACACAGGUAGAUGAGAUGAGUAUUCUAAGGCGCGUGAAAGAACUCUGGUUAAGGAACUCUGCAAACUAGCACCGUAAGUUCGCGAUAAGGUGUGCCGCAGCAAUGCGGUCUCAGCAAAGAGUCCCUCCCGACUGUUUACCAAAAACACAGCACUUUGCCAACUCGUAAGAGGAAGUAUAAGGUGUGACGCCUGCCCGGUGCUCGAAGGUUAAGAGGAUGCGUCAGUCGCAAGAUGAAGCGUUGAAUUGAAGCCCGAGUAAACGGCGGCCGUAACUAUAACGGUCCUAAGGUAGCGAAAUUCCUUGUCGGUUAAAUACCGACCUGCAUGAAUGGCGUAACGAGAUGGGAGCUGUCUCAACCAGAGAUUCAGUGAAAUUGUAGUGGAGGUGAAAAUUCCUCCUACCCGCGGCAAGACGGAAAGACCCCGUGGACCUUUACUACAACUUAGCACUGCUAACGGGAAUAUCAUGCGCAGGAUAGGUGGGAGGCUUUGAAGUAAGGGCUUUGGCUCUUAUGGAGC
rnacentral:rRNA from 1 species